GACAGAGGGGGCAAGCGUUGCUCGGAAUUACUGGGCGUAAAGGGCGCGUAGGCGGGAUGGCAAGUCGGUCGUGAAAUCCUUCGGCUCAACCGAAGAACGUCGAUCGAUACUGCUGUUCUUGAGGGUUGCAGAGGAGACUGGAAUUCCCGGUGUAGCGGUGAAAUGUGUAGAGAUCGGGGAGGAACGACCGGUGGCGAAGGCGGGUCUCUGGGCAAUUCCUGACGCUGAGGCGCGAA
rnacentral:rRNA from 1 species